rnacentral:sRNA from 1 species
UAUUCUGCCCCACGGGGAAGGAUGAGAAGCUUCGACUAAGGUUCGACUCGAGCGAAGCGAGAGAACGUUACCGCAGGCAACGGCCCGAAGGGCGAGGAGCGAUAGCGACGAGUUAUCCUUCCCCACCACCA